GAAGAUUCUUCUUUGAUCCUGGAAUACAAGGAAAAUGCACUAAUCAAAAUUUCAAGGUCAAUGGACACUACCCAAAGCUACUCCAUGAGAACCCGACUUUGGAAGAAGAGACUGUAGAAGAGCUCUCUUUGGGAAAAACAAUGUUAUAUCACCCUAUUCAAAGGGUUGAAAGAGUCUUGUUUGGAGUUGUGUGAGGUUGAAUAAUUAUGUUUGUAAUAUUCAGAAGUUGGUAGAAAAAGAAAACAAAAAUAGAAAAUAAAAAAAAUGAAUGAAAAAAAAAUAGAAGGGUGUAUACAUGUCAAUACAUACUCCUUAUGAAAAGAAAAAAAAGAGAAAGGAGAAGAAAAAUAUGAAUAAAAACAGUUACUAUAGAGUUGUUGAAGUGAAUGAAAUAUUUUAUAAAUUCAAC
rnacentral:lncRNA from 1 species